rnacentral:rRNA from 1 species
AAGGCCUCAUGCUAUAGGAGCGGCCGAUGUCUGAUUAGCUAGUUGGUGGGGUAAAGGCCCACCAAGGCGACGAUCAGUAGCUGGUCUGAGAGGACGAUCAGCCACACUGGGAGUGAGACACGGCCCAGACUCCUACGGGAGGCAGCAGUGGGGAAUUUUGGACAAUGGGGGCAACCCUGAUCCAGAAAGGCCGCGUGUGUGAAGAAGGCCUUCGGGUGUAAAUUAAAUGGGUCCGGAAAGAAAUCGCACUUACUA